AUAUCAAUAAGGCGAGGAACAGAAACCAACAGGGAUUCCCCCAGUAGUGGCGAAUGAAGCGGGAAAAGCUCAAGUUUGAAAUCUGUAGGGUGACCUACAGAGUUGUAAGCUGAAGAGGGUUUGACCGACGUGGCCUGGGCCCAAUUCCCUUGGGACAGGGAGUCAAGGAGGGUGAGAACCCCGUGUGUGGCUCGUGGCCGUCGUCCUUGUGUCGUGCCCUCCAAGAGUCGGGUUGUUUGGGAAUGCAGCUCAAAAUGGGUGGUAAAUUUCAUCUAAAGCUAAAUAUUGGCGAGAGACCGAUAGCGCACAAGUA
rnacentral:rRNA from 1 species